rnacentral:rRNA from 1 species
UGGGGAACAUUGCACAAUGGGCGCAAGCCUGAUGCAGCCAUGCCGCGUGUAUGAAGAAGGCCUUCGGGUUGUAAAGUACUUUCAGCGGGGAGGAAGGGAGUAAAGUUAAUACCUUUGCUCAUUGACGUUACCCGCAGAAGAAGCACCGGCUAACUCCGUGCCAGCAGCCGCGGUAAUACGGAGGGUGCAAGCGUUAAUCGGAAUUACUGGGCGUAAAGCGCACGCAGGCGGUUUGUUAAGUCAGAUGUGAAAUCCCCGGGCUCAACCUGGGAACUGCAUCUGAUACUGGCAAGCUUGAGUCUCGUAGAGGGGGGUAGAAUUCCAGGUGUAGCGGUGAAAUGCGUAGAGAUCUGGAGGAAUACCGGUGGCGAAGGCGGCCCCCUGGACGAAGACUGACGCUCAGGUGCGAAAGCGUGGGGAGCAAACA